GACGUAGGGCGCGAGCGUUGUCCGGAUUUAUUGGGCGUAAAGAGCUCGUAGGUGGUUUGUCGCGUUGUCCGUGAAAACUCACAACUCAAUUGUGGGCGUGCGGGCGAUACGGGCAGACUGGAGUACUGCAGGGGAGACUGGAAUUCCUGGUGUAGCGGUGGAAUGCGCAGAUAUCAGGAGGAACACCGGUGGCGAAGGCGGUUCUCUGGGCCUUACCUGACGCUGAGGAGCGAAAGCAUGGGGAGCAAACAGG
rnacentral:rRNA from 1 species